UUUUUUUUUUUCCCUCCCCUCCUUUUCUUCCUUCGUCUCUUUUGGCCGAUUCUUUCUCUGCAAAUAGCAGCGUGGUCGCCCACCCGAGCACCCCCUCACUCUCCCGCUCCCCCCUUCCAGAAAAAGUGUAGUACAAACAAAAGCGAGGGAAGAGGGCACGGGGCGGGCGGAGCGGGAAGGGCAGACACACAGCAAAAAUCCCCAGAAACAGUCCUCGAGAGCCGAAGCACGAGCAGCCCUCCCCCCCACCCCGCCUCGCUCCUCCGGGGGAAAACGGGGACGCCGUGGGUACGCUUGUGGAGACGACGCUCUCUCGUUCUGUGGGUCCCAUUCAUUUUGGUGCUGCAAGGCGUGAGACUAAUCUCAGAAGGAGGUGACAUAUAGGCAAUAUUUGGAGCAUAGUUUUCUUCAAGAUUUUGAGGAGAUGGAAUAUCAAAGGAAUGAAAAGAUUUCCUAGGUGUUCUUACGCUAUGAGACAGUUUUGGAACUGACCACAGGCCUCUUCCUAGACUAACCAGAUGUCUAAGAAGCACUUGAACUGAAGUGAGGAAUGGAGGUCUGUGUAAAAGACCUAAUCAGAGACUCCAGUCCUCUUCAGGAAGUACGUUGACCACUACAACUUCCAAUCACAAAUUUGAAUAUGGGAGAUGCUAGUUUGUUUGGAUUAAGCAAUUCACGAAUGUGCCUUUCUGGUUUUUUCUUCCUCAUUUGACCACUGUUAUCCUAGGUGUUAUUUAGUGAAAUGCCUUCAUAUUCAUGUACAGUUGUAAAUAUCAUAAUGUUUUUCUGGCAACCAGCUGUAACUGCUAGUUGGAUCAUUGGUAUCAAGAAUUAUAUUUCAAGCUAGAAUAAAUAGUAAUAACAGACAAAGAACAGAACAAUAAGUUUAAGGACAUCCAGAUUUCUGUGUAACACCAGCAGAUUAUCAGAGCUGAAUUAGAAAAAAAGAGACAGGUUGAUGUGGAAACCCAAGGUCAGAAUCUACUUUCUUGGACAGCUCUAUAGCCUAUGAACAGGAAAGAUCUUGCAACUUCUGUGUUGUUAGGUCUGUUAUAGCUAAUAGGUGUGCAAAUAGAGAGAUGACUUACAGAUCUUUUAUAAUUUUGACAGUUAUUCCUACAAAGUAAAAUGAGAUGUGAUUCUUGCAUGUGUUAGCUUCAUCCUAACAGUAUAACAGCGAUGAAAUUACAACUGCAUGGUCUGAACACGUGAUAGCAACAAGGUUCUGCUCCUUGAAAACAGCUCUGGUAGAAAAUGGAGGUAACCAGAUAGGCACUGUUAACACAGAGUAACAGAAAGUCUGCAUUUAAAGAGAUCACCAAGAAAACAGAACAGCAAAAAUGAGACAGCAAUAAAAUUUAUGACCGUAUCAGUAUUAAAAAUAAGCAAAUUUUACAAUGGUUUAAAUGUAGACCAUGAUAAAUUAAAUGGUAAUGCAAAUACAUGGAAAGAAAGUGCAAAAGUCAAAAAGCAAAUUAUAAUCAGGAAUUAAAUGUCAGUUUAUUCAUUGGGAAAAUCACUUCAUCUGCAUCCAACCACUUGCCAAAGUUGAAGUUGUUUUAAGAUACACGGGAUUUUUUUUUUUGUUUUGUUUUCAGUUUUUCUCUUACACAGCUAUUUGGAAAUUCAUGGCAAUAUUUUAAAGGAAAGCUUGUAUCAUAACACACAGUGUAGAAACUUUUUGUUCACUUUGUAGUCAUCACUUCCUGUCAUACAUAUUUGGAGCUAUAUUGUUUACAUUUUUUGUUAAAUAAGUUACCUGUAUACUGCAGUAGCUUUUUAAUUUAGCAGUUUUGAAUGUUCUAAAUUGUAGUUAUGACUGGUCAUAAAAUAAAAUUAUAUAAAGUUCUUCUGCAGUAUGUUUCUUAUGUGUAAGUCAGUCUUUCCUUUCUGCUCUUUAAAAUCGUAGCAAGACUCUGCACUCAGUCAGAGUUUGUUUCUCCAUAAAUCCAGAUUUAGUCAAAAGAACUGCACUAAGAAUUUGAGGUGUUAAAACUAGCGUGGACCACCACAUGUUCUUCAAGAACUGGAAUGUCUUUGGGUUUAGAAAGCUUUCUUUUCUGUGAUUUUUUUGUGCAGUAAAGCAAAUGAAAAGUUAUUGAUACUUUUCUCAGGUCUUCCAUAUCCAGAGAGGUCACCAUAUCUGACAAAAUUUGGGUUCUAAAAGGAAGUUAUAGCUGAAUUUUCCUUACACUUUUCAGUGGUGUAUUCUUAGGUUUCAGUCUCCUCCAAACCUUGCAAUGUCAUAAAAAACUUUUUAUUUACAAUUUACUGUUAGCUGUCUGUUUCAAGCUGCUGGAACUUUCCUUCUUUGCCAGGGGAAAAAAACAAAAUCAAAACCAAAAAAAACCCAUCUACUAAGGCCCGUCAUUUUUAAAUUUAAAUGAAAGUUAAAACACUUUCUGGUUUGGUAAGAAAAAUUAAUCUACUAGGGAUUUCUUUAUUACAUUACCAACUGCUAGUUGCAUAUACUGAUAUAUGUGCUGAAAUAAAUCUUUCCUGUAUUUAU